CGGAUCUCUUAAAGCCGUUCUCAGUUCGGACUGUAGGCUGCAACUCGCCUACACGAAGCUGGAAUCGCUAGUAAUGGCAGGUCAGCAUACUGCCGUGAAUACGUUCCCGGGCCUUGUACACACCGCCCGUCACACCAUGGGAGUCGGAAAUGCCCGAAGUCUGUGACCCAACCUGAAAGGGAGGGAGCAGCCGAAGGCAGGUCGGAUGACUGGGGUGAAGUCGUAACAAGGUAGC
rnacentral:rRNA from 1 species